UGUUCUCUGAUACGCUUGGUUACAAGAAACCUGGAUCCUGUAAACAAGUAUACUAUAUAAGGGUCUGUUGUUACAAUAAAGUUGAAGCUGUGCGCACUCACAUUUAGUGGUCGUGCUUCCCCACGCAAGGAGGGCAACCCUUUGGGAAAACUUGGGGCGUUUCCCAACAGUUAAUCUUCAUCUGAAUAAAGAUUCUGUCAUCUUUCAUCUUCGAAGAACCACCGGACCAAUAAUGAACUAAAUCUGUAUGGAUGGUACAGAAUAGCAUAAGAAAAGGACUUAAUACUCAUUUGGGGAAAAAAAUAUGGACUUUCUAAGUAGUAUCUUCUCCCAAGUAUCUUUCCAGUGUUCCGUCAGAAAUUCCUGUCACACAACAGACCAAAGCGAUGCGCCCAAUGACCCCGCCAAAGCUCAAUGGUUUAGCUAGCUCACAAUGACUCUACAGCCAUGUUUUCACUCCAGUGCUUGGGAAGACAUACAGAAGAAGAUACGAGAAAAUCUCUCCAGUGGAAUUUCCUGGUUUUGUCCAGAAGAAAUAUGCAAGUGAAGAACCAAAUGAGAUUACUGAUCAAUAGAUUCUAUGUAUGAUCUCUUUGUCCUAUCCUGUGCUGCAGUAACUCCAGAUUCACCAUGUGACUUUUGAUGUUCUUACUGGGGAAAAGAUCCAACACUGAGGCCAUUUUGGAACCAAGGUGAUUCCAUGGCCAAAGAACAUGUGCAGCACUGGCUCCAGUGUCAAGCUGUUUAUGCAACUUGGCACAUGCCUGGACCUACUGGAGUUGCCUGUGAUGUGAACUGCAAACUCUUUGAUGUAUGGUAAUCUUCUGCUUGGGAUCACUGCAUCGGCCCAAGAGACAGAAGCUCAGGAUGCAUGCCAGAAGAGCAUGAAGGUAUGAUUAAUUUAAUAAUGAUAAAAUGGAGAUUUCUUCUCCCCACUCUGACUAAAGAAAAAUAAUUAAAGCAGAUAAUGAGAAGAAGUGAUAAGAACAAACAGUGGUGUCUUGAACAUUAUGACAAAUUAUUUCCUUAUUUUAACUACUUUGAGUGGGGAGGAACAUAAAGCAGCAGUGAACUAGACUUAGAUAUAAUGGCUGCUGAUUUCUUGUCACAACUUCAGAAAAUAUUUGUGCUUGUUGGUGAGAGAAGGCAUUAGUGCUUGCAACUCAUUGCUGCCAUGUAGUUCAUACUCCAGGACUAAGUAUUAAUUUCUGAAGCAAGAUGAUUCUUGAUAAGGUAAGGUCAGCUUGAUAGUCAUCUGUAUUUUUUCCCUCUUUCGUUAACUUCUCUGGAGACCACGUAGCAUUUUCUGCUGUGAGCUGGAAGGUCACAGCUUGUUAAUUAUUGUGAUUACAGACUUCUGCUGACUCAGUGCAAGAAAUGCAAGAUGAAGGUAUGAAUUCAGCAGGGUGCAAAAGUUGAACUUGAUUUGAAUUAACACUAUACUGACCGUGUCCAGCUAUCUUAAAAACAACACUGACGUAAGAAGAAGGGGAUUCUUAAAAGUUAGCUUUUUUUUUUUUCUUGUGGAUGAGAGGGGAAUGUCAUAUGCGAAUGAAAAUAAAUUCUUAGGCUUAUGUAUAACCACCAUAGAGAAGAUAUCUAUCCUAGAAUUAAGCAUUAAGCAAUUAGUUUUACAGAGAGCCUUUUCUUCCUUUGACUGUCCUUUGUUGUUGUUGUUAUUGCUUACCGCAGAAGAACAAUAGUUUUUUUUUCCUAAACUGUGUUUUAAAAACAGCAGUAUCAUUUUUCUAGGGAAAAUUCUGACUCUUAAUAUUAAAAAAAAAAUUAAAAACAGGAAAAUAGAUAGUUUAAAAUCCGAUGCUGAUAAACUGUAAUAAAUACAAGCUUGAUAUCAUUGCAAUUCAUUGGAAAAGAAUGCAAGAAAGGGGUAUAGAGCUAAAUUCUAGAAUGGCAGCAUACUUAAACACUGAAAUUUAGAAACACCUGAGAUUUUGAGUGGAAAUAAAGAUUAUUUCACCUUGGCAAUUAAUAUUAGAUUAUGCUGAAAGGUAACAUAACAGUAUUUUUAACUGGUCUUGCUUUAUGAGUGGGACAGGAGGGAAUUUAUCACUAAAAUAAAAAGUUGUUUUUCUUGUCCUCUUCUAUUCAAGCAUAAUAUCGAUGUGAAUUUAGUACUUGUCAUGAGCGACACAAAUUCAAUCAGGAUCUGAAAAUGGAGUUGUAUUUCUUCUGUCUCAUUAAUAGAGUAAUAGAUUUUUCUACUCUUAACUAUGUGGGGAGAAUUCUCUUCUCCCUUAUGUCUUAUUUAUUUAUUUAUUUAUUGGUAAAUUUCUUUUUACUAUAGAAAAGUUAAGAUUGAAUUUCAUGUUGAAGAUGAAUUAUGGCCAUUCUCAUCAACUCCAAAAGUCAAUUUCAUAGUGAUUUAUUAGAUCUUAUACUGAACUUUAAUACUGAACUGAGUAUUCUUAGGCAAGCACUUGUAGUCUUGAGCACAGAAGGAAGGCCAUGUGUAAAGCCAGCUAAAGAUUUAUAUUUGUAGCUUCAGAUAUAUUCCCCACUCCAUAUGUGGGAUUUAAGGAGUUAAGGAAAAACAGGAAAGUAUUUGGAGAUGCACACUACGCCUAAACUCACACACAAGUGCAAUGUAGCAGAGUAAGAUUAUGCUGUUGCGGCAUUACUUCCUUGUGCUGAGAUUAGAGUAGUUGAUGAUUGUCAUAGUGUGAUGCACUUCCAGAAAAUCUGAAAUCUGUGAUAAUGGCUACUUUAUUAAGGAAGACGUGGAGCAAAUCUCCCCACUACAGGCUAAAUUGUGAUUUUGUAUUUUACAAAUGAAAAAUAACAUACUACAGGAUCUGCAAAUUCUUGCAAGGAAAUACCUGUACAUGUGAAUGCAAAACUUGCUUUGGAAGAAAUUACUGAAGAAAUUUGUUACAGAUUUGUAAGUUAUAGAUCAGACUGUUCUUUGAACCUAUUUUUUUUCCAGAGCCAAGUUUGCCUCAUAAAAUUUGUUUUUCUUGUUAUCAUAGUCCGGCAUAUCAAUCUAAUGUUUCUUCCAAUAGAAGAAGUGUGUGGUUACUGAGAUAUUUCUGUGUGGAAUAGAAGCUUUUGAAAAAAUCCCUACUCUUUUUUUUCAGGUUGUUUUCUGGAUGGCUGGUACAUGACACUCUAAGUACAAUAUGGGUGAAUACAUUUCUUUCUUCCUCCUUUCUCCAUUUCCUUUCUUCAUUUUUCUUCUUCCCCACUGGCCUUCCUUUCUUCCUUUAGGAGGACUAGAGAUCAAGGAAUUCUGAAACUUAGGAAACAUCAUAAAGUAACUUUUAUUUUACCCAUUCAGUAUCUUUACAACAGGCUACUCCUGCCUUCAGUGUGUUUCAGAUUCUUAAGGGAAUCCUUUUUCCUUUUUCUUUGAUAACAGGUUGAAUCUCGAAAUGUUAAUGUGCAUCGGACAGAAAAAUGGGCUUUGAAAAUGUUUGAUGUUUAGCUUACAGAGAAUUGGAGAACAGACUGGGGGGUGGUCAGAAGGUUAAUAGGCUGCCUCUCAUAGUGCUGAAGAAGGGAGCGUUAUUUUUUUUGCUAGAUAGACAAUAAAGGUUGUAACUCUUCUGCAAGUUCUACCAAUGAUUUUUCCAGCUUUCUGGCAGUGGAGUUGUUUAGAUACUCAGGGAGAAUAAAUAGUUUAAGCAGCUGGGAAUCUAAGUCAGAUUAUUGUUUUAUAGGAAUAUCAUAUAAAGAACAGCAUUCCCAUCUGCCCUGUUUGACUGUAGUUUAACGAAAGUAUAGCAGUCUUCCAAUUAAGGACUUGAAUAUAGUAUCCUGUAUUUCAAUGAACUUUUAACAUUCCCAGUGUUGUAAAUCUACACAAGACAGUGUAAGAUUAUGUACUAGCUUCUUUUUUGAGGAAACUGAACAGCAUAAAAAAUGGAUUUUACAGAAUUUUAAAAAAUCUGUAAGACGUUGUCAUGGUUUUGUGAUUUUUUGUUGUCAGUAUUCCACAUCAUAACAUCAUGUAAAGCACUGGCAGUUAAAGAGUUAAUGUCCUGGUUUCUGUAGACUGCCUUUUUUGGGUGUUUGGUUUUCGGAGGGGGAGGGGAGGAGCUGCACUCCCCAGGGGUCUUUGCUUCUGGAGGGGCUGGUGAAGCCACCUGGCAGACUGGGAGUUUGCUCUCUUCCUAUGCGGUGGAGAAGCACAUGGUCCCCCUGCAGCUUACGGUGUAAGAUUCUCAGCUUUGAACUCUCUCUGUUUUGUUUUAUUGGCCUCAAUUUCGAUAUCAUAUUUAGUAAAUUAACGUUCCUCCUUAGAUUGGUGCCACUGUUUUAUUUUAGACCCGUCUAUGGUUUUCUUACCCUUCUUCUUUUCCCUUUGUUUUCCCCAGGGCGUGGGUCUGCGGGUCCCCUGGCACAUUAGACACUGGACCGGUCCGGGCUGGCCCCUAAACCGCUGGAAGUUUUUUUUCUCCUUUCUCUCUUUUCCAGGCCUGUGGGCCUGUGGGCCUGCUGUCCCCCUGUCACAGACACAGAUCCAUAGAUAACGCCGUGUCAGAUGUUUAUCUAGAUGCAUGCCUAUGCACUGAAUGACGCUGAGAGAAAAGCAGAAAAUUCAGUUUUGAAGUUUUCAUGCAAAAAAAUUGUGUUACAGUUAAAAUAAGUGGAGCAGAAGUCCAUUGAGGGAGUAGGUAGGUUAAAACAGAAGCACUAUUUCUUCCAAUUUAAUGAAGCAGUUGAUGAUCAUCCAGAAUGUCAAAGCAUUUAAAAGCUCUUGGGGAAACCUUCAGGUGAAUCAAGAGAACUGUCUUAAAAGCACUUCAUCCCUGUACCUUCAUAGUUUAAUAGAAAAAGAAUAUUCUCUCAAUAAGUAUUUAUUUGAGUCCAUUUCUUUAUAGUGAGUGUAAGUAAAUACAGAUAUUAGUCUGCAAAAGGUAAAUACUGUAAAUAUAAUGUAAAUACAAAUACUGAUUGUUUUUCUGCAACCACUCCGUAUUACUCUAAACCAGUGCCUGUUUCACCUUUAGCUCUCCUGAGCAUAUGCUUCACAGCUGAAGUCUAGGCUGCCUUGCACUACGCAUAUCUAACUGUGAAAUUCUACAGGUAGCUCUGGAGUAUUUUAAAUUUAGUUUCUCAGAGUGAUGAUAGAUGCUGUCAAAGAUAAUUUGUCAGACUGACACUCUUGGCACAAUGGGUAGUUCUAGUGAAAAUAUUUGUAUAUUGGCUGAAGAGAAUACAAUUACCUGUAAGUCAUUUUGCAUAAAAGAUAAAAGGAAAGCAACUCUGACAUGCUUGAUAGAGGUUAGCAAACCAUUCAAAUCUAAUCUAAUUUUGUGAGUAGUUUCAUUCACGACACAAUUUUCUUAUAAUCGGAGAGAAAACGGAUGCUUAAAGUCAGGUAAUAUAAUUAAAUUGGUUGCAAGUAAAAUAUACUUCCCACUAUUCUACUUUUGGAAGCUCACAUUGCAUAUAACCAAUAAAAGUAUAUACCUGCUUUUAAUCCGUGCAAGAUGCAAUACAUUCAAUAAAGAUUUGGGGUUUCUCAGGGGAAUGAGACUUAGCUUUUCAAUUUUGAGGCAAGAGUGAAAUUGGCUUAAUAGAGGAUAUAGUUCAGUGAUACUUUAAGAUAGUCUUUAAAUAUUUAUCCAUUCAGAAAUGUAUCUAUUUAACCUGACAAUAGACAGAAGGAAGACUUCUUCCUUCCCAUGAUAUAACCUACUCUGGGGAGGAUUAAUUUUCUCUUUAUGUAUUUACAUGUUAAAGAAAAAAAGCUUGAGAUAGACCAGUUACUAUCUGUACACGUAACUGUGUUAGGAUGUAACAAAGGCCGCUCUGAAAGUAAUGCCUGCUGAUUUAUUAUGUUGACCCACAGGGUCAGGGGCAGAUGUUGGUGGUGUGGCAGUAGAUGUUGAACCUUCUCACCAAAAUUCUGUUACAUUUUGUUACCAUGCGACAGAUGGCAGCAGCAGUGCAGUCUGACAAAAUGACAUCUCACAUGAAAGUGCAGAUGAAGCAAAGGUGUGGAAUUGAAUUCUUCCAUGCAGAAAAAAAUUGCAUCCAUUGAUAUUCAUCAGUACUUGUUAAACAUUUAUGGAGACCAAACAGUGGAUGUAAGCACAGUGAAUUGGUAAGUGUUGCAUUUCAGCAAUGACUCUGUCGUAGGAGCUGUGAAGCAGUGGGUCAUCUCUACUGGUGCAGAUUUUUAGGAGAGUGUCAUGCAGGAUCUUGUUCAUCAUCAGUGAGAAAGCAGAGCUAAUGGUGGUGACUAUGUUGAAAAACAGUGUUUUGCAGCCAAGAAUUUGCUUUAUCAAAUAGUGUUAUUGUGUUCUUUGUAUCUGUUGUAAUUUCCAUGUAAAUAAAUAGGAGGCAUUACUUUCAGAGGGACCUAUGUAUUAAAAUGCAGAGGUAAUACAAAUAUAAUAGAAAUUUAAAGAGAAGUAUAGCACCUGAAGCUGUGAGUAAAAAUAAUGAGCUUGUUCCAGAGAUUAACUUAGACUCUAUUCCCUAAAUCACAGUCAAUGAAUAAUUCCUGCUCAAAUAGAUAGUAGGAGUUGUUAAUUCUUGUGGUAGACAGCUCAGUCCCCAGGUGGAGUUAAACACAACACCUCCUGUUCUGUAAAACUGCUUAUGCUAAUAACAGCCACGGGGAGUAAAACUAUUCUAAACUUGAACUUUCAUAGCAGGACUAGUGACUGUUCUAAACUACACACGCAGAAUCAAUGUGACCUUAUAUAUAUGUACACAGAUACACGUGUGCCACUAUAUAGUGGCAUAUACACUUACGACACUACCCUCUUGAAUAGUCUUUGUAGCAUAAGCUAUACAACCUGCUGCUAGCCCUGUGUGUGCUGUGGCUUUCUACUGUUUCAACAGGUUUUUUGUGUCCUCAAGUUAUCAGUAUGAGCAGAAUUCACCUCCCUUUCCUAUGCUAACUUCUCAGAAUGUAUUUCUAUUUUCUUCAGUAUGUUGUCUCCUAGAAAGAUUUUUCCAUCGAACUAUACAGGAACCCAUUCACAUGAAAACUCACACCAAAGAUGCCUUUUGGUAUCACCAAUCUGCACAACACUGUGAAAAUUAAUUGUAUAGCAUUGUCAAUUUACAUGAUCACUAGCAUUUUAUUAGCUCAAAAUUAAUCUCAUUUACUUCAUGAAAUCAUAGAAUCAUAGAAUACCCCAAGUUGGAAGAGACCCACAGGGAUCAUCAUCCUGGCUUCACACAGCAUCACCCAAAAAUCAGACCAUAUGUCUGAGAGAAUUGUCCAGAAGCUUCUUGAAGUCUGGGAGCUUGGAGAUGUGACCACUGCCCUGGCGAGGCUGUUCCAGUGCUCAACCACCAUUUCAUUGAGGAACCUCUUCCUGAUAUGCAGCCUCCUCUGUCACAGCUUUAUGCUGUUGUUCCCUUAGAUUAUAUUGCUGUCACUGUCACCAAAGAGAGGAGAUCAGCACCUGCUCCUCCGCUCAUGAGGAAUGUGUAGGCCAUGGUGAGGUCUCCAGUAAGUCUCCUCUAGGAUGAACAAACCAAGGGACUUUAGCCUCUCAUCAAAUGUUUUCUCCUCUAUAAUCUUCAUAAGCUUUGUAGCCCUCCUUCGGACACUCUCUAGUAGCUUUAUGUCCUUUUUGUAGUGCCUAAAACUGCACACAGUACUCAAAGUGAGGCCACACCAGUGCAGUGGUGUGGAAAAGCAUACUUGUAAACAUAAGCAUCUUUGCUGCAUUAUGACAAAAACUAUCAUGACUAAUAAAGUAAUAUGUACAAAUACAAUUAAAAAUGCUGUAAGGUUCUAUAAUAGAUGCAGAAUAAAAUUUCCCUCCCAGUUCCAUUUCUUAAAAGUGUAUCCCAAGUAUGUCCUCAUGAGACAUUAAUAGUGUUGAGAUGUUUCUGUCUUCAUGUUACUGUUUUAUUAGCCAGUAUGUUCUUUUUUUCUGUAUUAACAUGCAUGAGAUUACAUGUACAAUAAGUAUCCAAUUAUUUUACAGAGGUACAUAUUACCUAUCUUAUUGUUAGAUAGCUUGAGAUCACUGUCAUCUAAUUUAGUCCAGGGUCAUGUAGUGCUGUUCCUGGUCAUUACCUGCAAAAGAAAUGCAUAAUAAUGAUUAUCUUCUGGUGAUCUUAUAAUUACUGAUAAUUAUGAUUCUCAGUAACUUAAAGUGUUAACUAAGCAAGCAAGAUUUGGAUUUUUUUUUUCCCUGAAAUACAGAAAACAACACUGUAAAAACAAACAAACAAACAAACAAACAAAAAAACUCCACCAUUUUAGAUUUUAAAUAACAUCAUAAAACAAUGCAUUUACACCUAAAAUGGCAUCUGUUACUAUAUUCAGUGACUGCAGCUGCUUAAUAUAUUACAGAAUGGCCUAUAAAUAACAUUAUUUCAGAACAGAUAGAUGUGUGCAGUACCAAAACAGGAGCAUAUUUAUCUCUGUCCUAAGGCCAACAAUAGCUAAUCUUGCUGGUCACUGAUGCCAAAGUUACUUAAGGAGCAGUGUAGUGUAGUGAUUUUUGUGCCAGCCCAAAUCUGUGUCACUCCCACUGUUGGUAUUAGUGUGCAGGGAUCGUCGUCACAGCUUUAGUCACUUAUGAGCUGUUUAAUUCGGGACCUUAAAUGUCCUUCCUUCAUUAUAGAAAUAUUAUCUGUUUGCACAUUAAUGACCUUUGACUUUAUAAAGAUCUUGAUACUUUUAGUAGCUCAACAAAUAAAAGAUAGAAUUUUUUUAAUAUGUUUAAACAUGUUCAUUUAGAAAUUGAGAAUAAGAUAUUUUUUCUUUCCACAUGGCAUGACUACUUGUUUGUUAGUAAGAGUGUUCUAUGGCAGCAUGUUGUACAGUAUAAGCCAGUUUCAAAUCUGAUUAUGAAGUUUAACUAGCAUUACCACAAGCAGUAUUUUCUUUUAAUUUUUCAUGAGUAGUGCUCAGAGGUAAAGCAGUUUUAUAAGUUUAGUCAGUAGUUACCGAAGCUGAAAAUGUGUAGGUAGAAAUGCCACAGAGUCACCUGCCAAUCAGAGUGAAGUGGAGGAAAAAAAAAUAAAAAAAAAAAGAGCUUUGCAGUGUAGGAGCAGUCAAAAGGAUUAUGUCUUAAUAGUUUUCUUGGCAAAAGAGAAUCAUGUAAGAUAAGAAUCAAGUACUCUUCUCAUUUUAUGUUCAGGCAUUCAGAAACUCUGCUCAGCAUUUUGAGAACUAAGACUCCAUGAUCUAAGAAGGAACUGUAGACAUAGUUCUUCAUUUUGUACAGCAUAAAUCCAUUGUGUUUCCAUUUUCUACUUGUAAUAAAAUAAAGGUUCAGGGAAGUAGCAUAUAGAACUGUAAUUUACUCAGUGUUUUUUCUUUGUGUUUUGGAUAAUCUCUUAGGUUAGACAGAUAGCAAUGAUUAUAACAUGGCUGAGUAGAAACAGCAUUUCCCCUCUCUGACACUGAGAAAUGUUUAAGAAAAUCUUUGGAAUCUUGAUUGCUUCAUCCACACUUCCAUGUCAGACACCAUUCUGUGAGACUGCCCCUCUGGUGACAUCGGUUGCAUGGCAACAAAAUAUAGCAGAAUAUUGUUGGGAAGGUUCAAUCUCUACUGCCAUACUUCCAACUUCCAGUCUGAUUUUAUGGUCUAUUAUAUUAAAAUAAGAGGUAUUACUUUUGGAGCACCCCUUUGAGAUCAUCACAGAGUUCAGCAUGAACUUCAUUUACUCUAUUUUGAAAGCACCAUGCACUCUAGAAAUAAGUGUUUUAUUCAUGAUUAUACUUUUUAAAUAUCGUCAAAUUAUUAAUCUAUAUGUAGUCAAUUCAUAUGAAGUAAAAGUGUAAUUUUUGAUUCAGAUUUAUUGUUGGAAAUUAUUCAAUAAAUGCCUAAUGUUUAUGUUA